GUAUUUCGUACUACAAUUAUGGCUAAAUUUAUAAUUUUGCUGAAAAUUUCUAGGAAACUGCUUGAUAACAAUAAAAAAAUAAAUAAAAGCACUGCUAGCUUCUUUGCUUGUAUUAAUGAUUGCAAUAAAAGUUACACGUGUCACUUUAAAAAUGAAUAGUGCCACUUGAUGAUUGUGCAUGAUAUCCUGCAUGCAUGCAAUCGAUCACCUGCCAGGCUACAGUAGCACCUUACUAGUCAGCAAGGGACAAAAAUUAGCAGCUGCACUUUCCCACACAGCACAGCACGGGCAGUUUGGUCCCAGCUGAGCACAUGGUGUAAGAAUGGAAGACCCACUCUCACAAUCACUCUAUGCUCAUUUUUCAAGCUCAAAAAUAUUAAAUGAACAUUAUUCAAGAACACUCUUACAGAAGAACUUUACUAAUCUUUUAAAAAUCUAUUAUGCAAAAAAAGUCUUUCAAAAUUUCAUACUAAAACCCAACAAAGUCAACACCGACUACUCAAUUCCUCGUGUUAUACUAAAACUAUCUGUUCUGCUGCUAAAUCUCAGAGUCGUGCUAAUGUUUUCUAUCUCAUGCUAACAGUCACAGAAAUCUUAAACUUUACUUUAUGAAUGACUGCUUAAGGACUGUUCUCCCAGCUAAACUCUAAAUGUGGGGCACGCCUUGCCUACUUACUCUGCAAAGAACACCUACAUCAUUCCUAUGGUUUCACCUACAUCAUUCCUAAUGGUCUCUAAGAACAAAUUGUCUAUUUAAAAUAAAUGAGCUGGAAGUGGUGAUUCAUAUUGGAAUCCCUCUAGCUGAGGCAGGAGGAUUAACGAGUGUUUUGAGGCCAGCUAGGGUUAAUAGGUGAGGCUCUAUCUCAAAAAAGACAAAGCAAAAGAAAAAAAAAGGACGCAGGGAAGAAAUCACUGAAACUAAGUACAAUCCAACCUUAUUAUAGUAAACCAACAAAACCUGUUGAUUAUCUUGGCUGAGUUUGAAUAGUUAAUCAUAUAUUAUAACACUUUGAUUACAUAUAAAAUUUAGAAUAAAGCUCAAUAUUAAUUACGAUUAACUAUAACUGACUUUCACUUACAAGUUCUAAGGUAAUAUAAAAGCUGCCUAUGCAGACUAAAAGAAACCCUUUAAAAAGUACUGUGCAAACAAAGUCCUUCAAAAAUUCAUACUAAAACAACAAUCAAUGUCAGCUACAUAAUUUCCUCAGAUGUUACAUUAAGAAAAAACUGCUUUGCCUUCUGUAUCAAAUCUUAAUGAACUUUGAGCGGCUUGAUCAGAACGUAAAGGGACUACUGAAACAGUUUUUAAAAAGUACAAUUUGCCAGUGGCUGCUACUCAACUGUUUAUACAUAUAUACACCUCCCCAGACUAGGGGCUGACUUUUCCUUGGCAUUCAGACUGUGUACUGAGAAAAACUGGUAGUGAUUUAACAUCACUGUCAAGUUUUUUCUUUCUCAAGGUUUCAGCCCAGAUAAUAAAGCUGUACUGAUACAAUGUGUUACUAGAGACACAGCUAAACCAGCCUCAGAGCUGCAAUAAGGCUUCCCAGGACUUAACUAGAGAGGUUAGCUUUCAUGAUGAAGUCAUUGAUGCUGUUAUGAACUACCAAAGGAAUCCAUGCAUGUUUAUGUAGCUCUUUAAAUGAAUAUUCACUUCUGGAUUUAAGUCCUCAAACUUUAAGGCACCAUACUAAUCUACAACAAUUAGUAGUGGACAGGAAAAUAUGACUAUACUGUUUCCCCUCAUACCUCUCUAGAAACAUAUCUUUGCAAAUUCAAAAUUAACUGUAUUUACAGAUUCUAGUGCCUAAAUGCUAUGCUACAGGUACACAGAAAAUGUCUAGUUUUAAAUUUAUGGCUUUCUAGAAAUAUUUACCAGGAUCUUACUAAGAUAUCUUGAUAACUUACAAAAGGACAAGAGUAAAGCUUCCGUGACAGUUUUGUUUCAAUGACUGUGUAAUGUCUUUCUCAUAAGCAAAUGUUAUAAAGAACUCACCAGUGUCUCUAUCUGUUUAAAGGAAGGUGGUAAAGGUUAUUUACUAUACUUCCAGGACCCAAGCAUACAUUCUCCUGUAUUUGGACCUAGCCCAUGCAGUGGUUCUUGUACCCAAUUUUAAAAUGUCCUUAUGGCUUUCUGCUGUAUUGUAAACUGUACCUGUGCAGCAUGAAGAGUGAAUGAAACAUAAGACCUCAAAUAAUAAAAAGCAGAUGACU
rnacentral:lncRNA from 1 species